GACGAACGCUGGCGGCGUGCCUAACACAUGCAAGUCGAGCGGAGACAGGGAGUAGCUUGCUAUGAGCUGUUUUAGCGGCGGACGGGUGAGUAACGCGUGAGCAACCUUUCCCAGACAGGGGAAUAACACACCGAAAGGUGUACUAAUACCGCAUAAGACCACGGGAUCACAUGGUUCUGGGGUAAAAGAUUUAUCGGUUUGGGGUGGGCUCGCGUCCGAUUAGGUAGUUGGUGAGGUAACGGCCCACCAAGCCGACGAUCGGUAGCCGACCUGAGAGGGUGAUCGGCCACAUUGGGACUGAGACACGGCCCAAACUCCUACGGGAGGCAGCAGUGGGGAAUAUUGGGCAAUGGAGGAAACUCUGACCCAGCAACGCCGCGUGGAGGAAGAAGGUUUUCGGAUC
rnacentral:rRNA from 1 species